GGACACCUUCCAGAAGCAGGCUGUACUCAAACUAGAAGAGCACGAGAAUGUGUUUGUAGCAGCUCACACGUCUGCUGGCAAGACAGCAGUGGCCGAAUACGCUAUAGCCAUCUCUCUACGAUCAAAACAGCGAGCUAUCUACACGUCUCCUAUAAAAGCCCC